GCUAUGUGAAUACACUGAAGUGGAAAAGCUCUGAUUCCUUUUGAAGCAGGAAAUGGGUUGAUUAUGCCUCUAAGAAAGUACCUGUGUACCUCCGAGAGAGAGGAGUCACUUUCAUCAGACCUAUAGUGAAAGAGUUAGAAUUAUGAGAGAAAGAAUACAGAUGUCAACAGCCCCUGAGACUGCUGUCCUUAGAAAGGCCUGCUUGGAAAACUGGACUUUGGCUGACAUCUGAAAACAGCUCUCAGAGCAUCCCCAGUCAACUGUUAGCCAAUAAAAGUGGCUCACUGUACACUAGAAACUUCGUGCAAAUAAUACGGCUUAUGCUGAACACUUGCUUUCCUUCUAGAAGUCUAGACUGACAGAAGGUACGUAUGUCACCCUCCCCAGUAAAACCCUUGGGCACUGAGCGUCUACUGGACUUUUCUGGAAAUAAACAUUGCA